rnacentral:rRNA from 1 species
CCUACGGGAGGCAGCAGUGGGGAAUUUUGGACAAUGGGCGCAAGCCUGAUCCAGCAAUGCCGCGUGAGUGAAGAAGGCCUUCGGGUUGUAAAGCUCUUUUGUCAGGGAAGAAACGGUGGGGGCUAAUAUCCCCUGCUAAUGACGGUACCUGAAGAAUAAGCACCGGCUAACUACGUGCCAGCAGCCGCGGUAAUACGUAGGGUGCAAGCGUUAAUCGGAAUUACUGGGCGUAAAGCGUGCGCAGGCGGUUUUGUAAGUUUGUCGUGAAAUCCCCGGGCUCAACCUGGGAAUGGCGAUGAAGACUGCAAGGCUAGAAUCUGGCAGAGGGGGGUAGAAUUCCACGUGUAGCAGUGAAAUGCGUAGAGAUGUGGAGGAACACCGAUGGCGAAGGCAGCCCCCUGGGUCAAGAUUGACGCUCAUGCACGAAAGCGUGGGGAGCAAACAGGAUUAGAUACCCUGGUAGUCCACGCCCUAAACGAUGUCUACUAGUUGUCGGGUUUUAAUUAACUUGGUAACGCAGCUAACGCGUGAAGUAGACCGCCUGGGGAGUACGGUCGCAAAGNUUAAAACCUUCAAAUGAGUUAGUAGCGNGNGAGNGCGAGACGACACGAGGAGGAGG